AACAAAACUUUAUUUUCUUAAUGCGUAAAAUUAAAACAUCAAUUAGGCAGUGUGAAGCAAACUAAAUUAUCUUAGGAUAUUUGUAUUUUUAAAACAAUUGAUUAAUUUUGUUCAAUUUGUAAUUUGUAAGAACAAUUCAAGAAUCUAAUAUUUUGUUUUGGAUCAUGGUUGUUCUGUGUUUAUAGUAUGAGUUUAUACCUAAUUUUACCAAAUUUAAGAUAAUGCAAUUAUGAUUAAUAUAAACUAUAUCAUUAGAUCAACGUUAUAAGUCAAUUUCUAAAUAUAACUGUAAGUAAUAUGAAUCUUAUUUAAGCUAUUAAUACAUGAAUUUUAGUUUACAAUUUAUUUUUUAAUCAAAUUACUGCAGGU